UUAUAUAGCAAAGGAGAUUAAAAAUAAAAAUAAAUUGAGUUGAUUGGAUCUUAAUUGUUACUUUCUUUCUUCGUAAUUGAGUGGAAACUAACUGGUAGGAUACUAGCUAAGGCUAUAAAUACCGUACUGGUUUCAAAAAGACAAACGAAAAGCAUAACCAGAAAGAAAGUGAAAAAAGCUAGCUAGCAUCAAUAUGCCUUCUAAGAAUCCCGACGUCAAAAAAGUCAUUUGGCCUAACAAUGGUUCUUCGCAGCCGCCUUCUCAGAAUGGUUCCCCGUUUCCAAAUCUUCAGAAGUGUCUAGGAAAAGAUAGGCAGAAAGAUGGUGAGAAGAAAGGGAACGAGUGAAGAAUUAUGCAGCAGGUUCUAAAUAUAAUGUUUAUAUAUUGUUGGGCAAAUAAUGGGGAAUUUGCAAAUAUGCUUGCUCCUUUUGCAGAUGUAUAAAUACAGAAGUUGUUUUCAUUCAAAUUUCCUUCAUUAAUUCAGUUAGCGUUAUUAUAUUGUAAAAGGGGUGGCUGCUGCCAAGAAUAAAUCCCAACUAUAUGUGUAAAAGAAACACAGUAUAUGUACUAUUUGAUUUUGUUCCACAACUCUUGUUGCUAUAUUUCAUUGUGUUUUUGGUUUGAUAGUGUUUACACCAAGUUUUGGGGCUCCCUUAUCGGACAUGAAAACUAUAUAUGUGGCCUCCUCAUCAUCCUAAAGGGAUCUCUCUCUCUCUCUCUCUCUCUCUCUCUCUCUCUCUCUCUCUCUCUCUCUCUCUCUCUCUCUCUCUCUCUCUCUCUCUCUCUCUCUCUCUCUCUGAGCCUUCGAGACUCCCUUAUUCUUGUGUGUGAUUGUGG
rnacentral:lncRNA from 1 species